AAUGAAUUGCCUGAUAAAAAGGGUUACCUUGAUAGGGUAAAUUAUGCAGUUUUCUGCAUUCAUUGACUGAUUUAUAUAUUAUUUAAAAAGAAGGUUUUAUAUUUA
rnacentral:tRNA from 1 species